rnacentral:rRNA from 1 species
AGUGAACGCUGGCGGUAGGCCUAACACAUGCAAGUCGAACGGCAGCACAGUAAGAGCUUGCUCUUACGGGUGGCGAGUGGCGGACGGGUGAGGAAUACAUCGGAAUCUACUUUUUCGUGGGGGAUAACGUAGGGAAACUUACGCUAAUACCGCAUACGACCUACGGGUGAAAGCAGGGGAUCUUCGGACCUUGCGCGAUUGAAUGAGCCGAUGUCGGAUUAGGUAGUUGGCGGGGUAAAGGCCCACCAAGGCGACGGUCCGUAGCUGGUGUGAGAGGAUGAUCAGCCACACUGGAACUGAGACACGGUCCAGACUCCUACGGGAGGCAGCAGUGGGGAAUGUUGGACAAUGGGCGCAAGCCUGAUCCAGCCAUACCGCGUGGGUGAAGAAGGCCUUCGGGUUGUAAAGCCCUUUUGUUGGGAAAGAAAAGCAGCAGGUUAAUACCCCGCUGUUCUGACGGUACCCAAAGAAUAAGCACCGGCUAACUUCGUG